AAACCUGUAACUCUUCAUCUGUAAGGAUGCGAUUGUAGUUUAAAUCAAGAUAGGCCUACUGCAAGGACAAGUCGGUUAGUGAGCAGCACCUCGAGGAUGAGAACCAAGCUUCAGCUUUGAAGAAGACCGGCGAUGAGAACUGAGGAAACCGUGAUCAUGACCAUUAAUACACAGACAAUAGUCUGAAUUGAGGAAACAGUUUUGUAAAUAAAGAUUUAAUUUCUCAUCUUUUAGUGGUGAAACAUUGCCUUGUUUAUAAUGUUCCUCUAUUGUCUGGCGUGAUGGCGGACGUCCUUUAGGAGCUUGAGGCCGCGGAUGUUCCCUCACCUUUGACCAAUGAGUUUCCACGACGUUUCCACAUGACUUGGCAAUGAUUUUUCCAGCCUUAUAAAUUUCAUCGCAUUAGGGGAUGCUUAGCGUCGUGGAUUGAGAGCAAGCGAAUCAUUUAUGUGCAAAGUGAGACCACAAAUCAAAGAGAUUGACCUUUGCUUUCUACUUUAAACAAUGUCAAAACAUUGUACUUUUUUCUAAUUAAAUGUCUGUGAUUUCAUCUAAAUCUUUAUUCUAAGGCAUCAUGACUACCGUGCUUGGCUUGGAAGCGCACCUAAAAGUGAAUUUGUCAUCUUAAAGUGCCCUUAUUACAGGUAAUGAAAGGUACAUUUUUUGGUUUUGGGAGUCUCCAACAACAUGGUUGACAUGCAUGCAAGGUCAAAAAACACUUUCGUCGUCUUAUAAUAUGCAUUUCUCUUUUUUAACCUAUUUGCUAAACGACUCCCAAACGGUUAAUUCUGCCACAUCUCUCCUUUGCAUGAUGCUAAUCUGCAGCGAUAUCUUGGAUCGGGCCCGUCUCGCUUUCAUCGUGUCUGUAAUACCUGAUAAAUCUGUAUUUGUGAGCGCAUGUCAACGUGAAACGGCUCGGGAUUCGUUUUAAAAACUGCUCUUUUCGAUGAUUUAAAGUGCACUCUUUCUUUCGAGAGUCGAGAUGUAAAUGAAAAUGAAAGGUCAUUUUCCAUAAUAGGGGCACUUUAAGAAACUUUUUAUUGUGGGCUUAUCUGCUUAGAUAUUUUACUUCCUGUUGAACCAGUUUUGCUCAGUCAUGUGGAGGAUUUUUUACUUCUUUUACUUCUUUAUUAACUCGGUCCAAAUCAAGUACUUCCUACUUAGAGCAGUGAUGUUUUAUAUUGCAUUUGGCAUGCAUCUGACUGUCUUGGAAACACAUCAGUGCCAGCAACCAGUACUUCAGAUGAAGAUGUAUUUUGUUCUCCAAGACACGAGUGCGGUGCGCAUGACACUGUAAAAUAUAAUGGCAUCAAAUAAACAGCAGUAGGGUGUUCGGUGUUCCACGUGGUGAGUGAAAGUCCAUCUGAAUAACGGAAUGAAUAUGUUCUUUUUAAACAUCACUGAUGCUACCAAUUUUCAUCAUUUGCAUUCAGUGGUAUUUUUAACAACCACAAUACACAAUCGAGAUAAUAUGAAAACCGACGACAAGACCGCUAAAAAGUUUUUGUUAGUUAGCUGUUUUGUAUGUUGACUACUAUAAGUGUUAGUAUUAAACACCGCAAGUGUUCAUUUCAACACUUUAAUAAAACCAAUAGACAAGAAUGUAUUUUUUUUAUAGAUCGUACUUCCAACAAUUUAAAAAUAAGUUAAAAUAAAAUAAUAAUAAUAAUAAUAAUAAAUGUACUGACUGUAGUAAGCAACAUUUUCCACACAGAGAAUAUUAAUAAAAAAACAAAGACAGAAGAAAUUCGGCGGAUGGGAUGAGAGAACAUCUGAUAGUGUGUGUGAGUAUUCAAACCACUUAAGUGUUGGCUUAACAACACACAGUAUAAGAUCCUGCAUGAUCCUGAAACUAGCGCAGAGUUUCUUACCUUGUCAUUUAUUACUAACGGUUUGGAAUGAAGAAUAAAUCUAAACACCUUUCUUUCACACCACCUGGAAGGAAUUCUAUUUGUUCAAAGAAAUGCACAGGCAAUUCAUUUUUCUCUCUUUUCAGGUUCAAAUUUUGUGGUGUUGUGUUACUUACUGUAGCCAGCAGAGGGGGCGGUUGCACUUUAAAUUAUGUUUUGCAAUCAGAUGGAAAUAAGCCCAAUAGAAGCCUUUUAAUAAUUAAAUGAUUUGAAUUAUUGUGUGUUCACAAAAAUCAUGCCUUUUUUAACAAAGCUGUAUAAAAUGUUGAAAAAGCAUUUUUUUCUUUGGAAGAUUUUUCUAAAUAUCUUUUUACAAUAAUAUGAAAGACGACAACAAAAAGACAACGAAGAAAGUAGUCAAGCCACAGAGGUGGAUCAUAUGGAGAGAAUUCAGCAGCAACAGCUGCAAAUAUUCAUAAAAGUAAACUCAAAGCACAGUGAAUGCUGUUUAAUAAUUAUGUGUCUGUCGUUCCUUUCCAGUAAUCGGUGAGAAAGAGGCCAUGGCAGCUACAACCGUGUUUCAACUUUCUUUAACACAGAACUGUUCUGUCGAACCGGAGCUCCAUGAGCAACAGAACAAACCUACCAUCAAGAAAAAGCAAAGAUAUGAAGCUUCAAACGUUUAAAAGCAUCAGUUUUCAAAUAUGUUAAUGUUAAUAUUGUUUUGAAGUCAUGACAUGAUAUUCUAAUAAGUGAUUGUGUGACAAUUAAUCUUUAUUAAUCAAAACUCUGUAAAUUUGUGUAAAAUGGAAUAAAAAGUGUCUGAGUUUUA